rnacentral:rRNA from 1 species
GCUACACAUGCAGUCGAGCGGUAACAGAAGUAGCUUGCUACUUUGCUGACGAGCGGCGGACGGGUGAGUAAUGCUUGGGAACAUGCCUUGAGGUGGGGGACAACAGUUGGAAACGACUGCUAAUACCGCAUAAUGUCUACGGACCAAAGGGGGCUUCGGCUCUCGCCUUUAGAUUGGCCCAAGUGGGAUUAGCUAGUUGGUGAGGUAAUGGCUCACCAAGGCAACGAUCCCUAGCUGGUUUGAGAGGAUGAUCAGCCACACUGGAACUGAGACACGGUCCAGACUCCUACGGGAGGCAGCAGUGGGGAAUAUUGCACAAUGGGCGCAAGCCUGAUGCAGCCAUGCCGCGUGUGUGAAGAAGGCCUUCGGGUUGUAAAGCACUUUCAGUCAGGAGGAAAGGUUAGUAGUUAAUACCUGCUAGCUGUGACGUUACUGACAGAAGAAGCACCGGCUAACUCCGUGCCAGCAGCCGCGGUAAUACGGAGGGUGCGAGCGUUAAUCGGAAUUACUGGGCGUAAAG